GUGGGGAAUAUUGCGCAAUGGGGGCAACCCUGACGCAGCAACGCCGCGUGAAGGAAGACGGUUUUCGGAUUGUAAACUUCUUUUGUCGGGGACGAUAAUGACGGUACCCGGCGAAUAAGCUCCGGCUAACUACGUGCCAGCAGCCGCGGUAAUACGUAGGUGGCAAGCGUUAUCCGGAAUUACUGGGUGUAAAGGGUGUGUAGGCGGGGCGGCAAGUCAGGAGUGAAAACUAUCGGCUCAACCGGUAGCCUGCUUUUGAAACUGCUGUUCUUGAGAGUCGGAGAGGUAAACGGAAUUCCCGGUGUAGCGGUGAAAUGCAUAGAUAUCAUCCAGAACACCGAUUGCGAAGGCAGGUGGCUGUACCUUAAUCGACGCUGAUGCACGAAAGCAUGGGGAGCAAACAGGAUUAGAUACCCCGGUAGUCC
rnacentral:rRNA from 1 species